UUAUCCCCGAUUUAAAGUUUUCUCAAAUCGUGAAAGCAAAUACUCCCUUUGCUCCUUUCCACUUACAACUUGCUUUUUCGUGUCAUAGAGAAAUGGGUUAUUUUUGAAGGUUUUAUCCCCGAAAAGGAACAAAAGGAGAAACAAGGGAAGUCAAUGAUCCCCGGUUCAAAACCGCGAAAGUGCCUCGUCUUCUUACUACCUAUUCCGUCCCCAAAAGUUCAGCCACUACGCGAGCGAACGAUCCGCGAAUCUUCAACGUCACGGGCAUAGUCGAACGAAAUGGGGUUCUGUUAUCCCUCCAGUCCGAAGAAGAUGGCAAUGACGGCUGGAAUGUUCGCCACCGGAGCUGGCCUUUUCGCUUAUGGAUUGCAUCUCUGGUACGUUAACGUCGCCCCUCAGCGGGCCCGUAUCCAAGCUCGUAGCGAGUUCGUGAAAGAACGAUUUAGGCAGAAGUACGGGAAGGAAACUGGCCGAGGCUGAGAGGUAUGAUACGGUUUACAUGGAUCAUGCGAAAUUGGUGGAAUGGUUUUUCUUCAAGGAUCUUAGCAUUUCAGAAUCAGCUUUGCUUCAUAGUUGAUUACAUGAAAUGUUACUGCCUGAAUAGCCGUCCAACACAAUACCGAUCUGUUGAAGCCUUUUGCCUUUUUCGUUUUUAGAUGGGAUUGAAUGGAUAGAAUGAGAAAACAAAAUGUCAUGUGGAACUGGAAUAGAAUGAGUAUUCUCUUUCUCCUUGCUGACU